rnacentral:rRNA from 1 species
GGGAAUUGAAACAUCUAAGUACCCGGAGGAAAGGACAUCAAUUGAGACUCCGUUAGUAGCGGCGAGCGAACGCGAAUUAGCCCAAACCAGAUUUGUUACGGCAAAUCUGGGGUUGUAGGACCACGACAUUUGAUGCUCAACGAAUUAGAAUACUUUGGAAAGAGUAACCGAAGAGGGUGAUAGUCCCGUAUAGGUAAGUUGAGUUAUUGAUAGUGGUAUCCUGAGUAGUGCGGGACACGUGUAAUCCUGUAUGAAUUUGGCGGGACCAUCCGCUAAGGCUAAAUACUCCUGAGAGACCGAUAGUGAACCAGUACCGUGAGGGAAAGGUGAAA